AUGAACGCUGGCGGCGUGCCUAAUACAUGCAAGUCGAGCGAACAGAUGAGGAGCUUGCUCCUCUGACGUUAGCGGCGGACGGGUGAGUAACACGUGGAUAACCUACCUAUAAGACUGGGAUAACUUCGGGAAACCGGAGCUAAUACCGGAUAAUAUAUUGAACCGCAUGGUUCAAUAGUGAAAGACGGUUUUGCUGUCACUUAUAGAUGGAUCCGCGCCGCAUUAGCUAGUUGGUAAGGUAACGGCUUGCCAAGGCAACGAUGCGUAGCCGACCUGAGAGGGUGAUCGGCCACACUGGAACUGAGACACGGUCCAGACUCCUACGGGAGGCAGCAGUAGGGAAUCUUCCGCAAAGGGCGAAAGCCUGACGGAGCAACGCCGCGUGAGUGAUGAAGGUCUUCGGAUCGUAAAACUCUGUUAUUAGGGAAGAACAAAUGUGUAAGUAACUAUGCACGUCUUGACGGUACCUAAUCAGAAAGCCACGGCUAACUACGUG
rnacentral:rRNA from 1 species